rnacentral:lncRNA from 1 species
GGAAAGAGAGGGAUGGGGUUCUCUCAACCCUUCCACAGCAUAAAUUCAGGCAUGCUUUCAGCAGUAAUAGAAUCAAGAAUUGCAAAUUUGUGUACAAGUAUACAACCAUCCAACCACAAGUUUACACAGCUUAAAUUUACAUCCUCGGACAACCUGAGUCCCGCAUUGCCACACUGAUACAAGGUGCAGAAGUUCCAUCAACAGUAAAGAUCCCAUUUAUCGAUCAAUCUGAGCAAUUCGAACGGCCAUGCGUAUUGGAAUACUCCGCCUAUGAACUGAGUUAUGUUCAAGAUAAUCACUCAAGGUGAAGAUAAGUUUUCUAUCAUGAUUUUUCUCCUUGAAACCAUGA